CGGACUAUUUUUGGACAAGCCACAAUUCUCCUUGCUCUAUCUCACCUGGCUCACCCGGGCAAGCCCCUUGUGAAAUAAAUGAAGUGUGUUAGAGGAAUGAAAAUGUUAAAAAUGAGCUACAGGUGAAAACAAAAUGGUCUGGAUACCCAUUAAUAAACAGUGAACACAGUAUGAGGGUGAAGUGAGGUGUGCGCCUUUCCCAUCAAUCAUGACCUUCAGUCUUCUUUAACACUGACGCAGUGAGUGAAAUUCUUAUACGUGGACCUGGUCUCUCGUCUGUCCUGUCUUCAUCUCUCCGGGGAGGACUCUCCAGUGUCGGCACUUCGACCAGAGGUAGGAACUAAAGUUGUGAGUGUGGAAAUGAAGAAACCUCGGCCCACACAUGCCUUUGGAGCGAUGAGCGAUAGAAUCGAGAAAAUCCGAAUGCAUAGGCCGCUUUGCUGAAUGCAGCAGGGGCAAGUAACAAUAGUCCCAUAUUUCAGGACCAGAAGUGCCCUCUGCAUGCUACAGCACUGCCGUCUUGAAGCUAAUCCAGCAGUCAGCUGAUGGACCAGAUGGCUCUCGCCAGACAGAGGAAGGUGUGUGAUGGGCAUAAAGAGAUUUUUUUCGACUAGAUGUUUGCUCAGCAAUCUGAGGCCAGAUCUGGGCCAGCACUACCACACAAGCUGGAGAUCACCAUCAUUGGGCACAACUACAACCUCAGCUUCCUCAAGGUGAUCCUCAAAGGACAUUAACUUUUAACAUUAAUCCUAACCAAGCACAAAUUCACCUUCCUGAAGGUCAGUCAUCAGUCACACCAGUAUUUACCGUUAACCUAAACUCCAAAUCCUAAACCAUAAACCUGACCAAACACAACCUCACCUUACUCAAGGUGAGUCUCUACAACGUUACUCUUUAAUCUUAACCCCAUAGUGUAACCCAUACAUCUAAUCCAACACAAUAUCACCUUCCUCAAGGUCACUUGCUCAAGCCCUUGAGAAUCCUUACCAGUUCAUAUUUUUAUUCUCUUCCAGACAAAACGUCUCAUGGAAUGCAUCCGUAUCUUCUACCUGCAGCGUCCGGUGACUUACUCAGAUAGUUAUAAGAUGUAUUUUAUGUCAUGCUGUCAUCUGUAAGAGUUGAAAAUGAAGUUCUGUCAUUUGCCUCAUUAGAUACCCUUCUUUCUUUUCUCUGUAUCCCUAUGCGAACUUCCU